UCAAGACACAAAAAUGAGGACUUAACACUUGACUUGGACUUGACUGCUCUGAGACUCAGUUUGACUCUUUGACUUGACUUGAGGCCUUGCAAAGCCACACACUAUUUGAUAUUUAACUAUAAGGUCUUUACAUUCAAAAGACUCUCAGUUAAGGAGAAAAAACACCAGUAACGUACUGUGUGUUUGAUGGGAAAAUGGCGACGCCGUGUCAUUUUAAUGGCCAGAAUUCAGGACUGAAAGACUUGCUUUCUGGCUUUGGAAGAGUUGUGACUUCAACUUCCCAAGAAUUAGAGACUGUCAGACUUGAGUCAUGUCUUGUACUUCCUUUUACUAAAAGCAGCUCUGUGUAGCGUACACCAACUACUCAGAAUCCUGAUAAUGCCACAGCCUCAUAGAUCUAUACACAUGAUCUAGUAUUAUGUACGCUGGUUUGAGAAUACCAAUGUAGAAGACAAGGUAUGUAAUGGGAGAGUGGCAAGAACAGGAAGUAAGACAACCAACAAAAACAACAACAAUGGAGGAAAUAAAAGUACAGUGAAACCAAAUGUUCGAACAAGGUGUGGAGACUUUACAGAUGCCUCGUGAUAGAUAACAGGCCGUCCAGAUGAGUGACAGGUGUUAAGGUGUCAACUGAUGAAGGAGGAGGGCGGGGCUAACACACUUCCUCCCUUGAAAACAAAAGCUGCAGAUUUGAGCUGAAACAUAUAAUGGUUAUCUGUGGUUAAUCGCCUCUUUUCCCUGAGGUUUGGAUGUCUUUUAGGUAAUUGUUUCUUCAGCAGCGUCUCGCUGAGAAGUCAGCAGCCCCAUAAAACUCUGCAGACAUUAGAGCUGAUGGUUUCCAUAUGGGAGGCGCCUUUGUGGAAGCGUCUACCAGCAGAGAUUAGAGACACUGGACAGUCUCACCGUACUUGCUUCUGCUUCAGUUUGAAACCGUGAGGACACUCGCAAAUGUUCGGCCGAACACACGAACCUCCGUUCAGACACACGGGAGAGCAGAGAGCUGGAGAGAGAGGCAAGAGCAUCAGCAUUGAGAGGUGCUCUGGGCGUUGCACUCGUCUGACAGCGUGACGCGUAAGGAGUGGCUCGAUUGACGUCCCUCCUCCUCAGGAACCCUCCAGAUAAGGAGGCCAGCGGGGGAGAGGACAGCCCCCUUUGGCCCCUCCUCCAGCUGGAAGAGGAGUGCCGAGCCCUCGGGGUCUGAUGCCGCGAACUGGAAGACGAAGUUCUCCCCGGCAAAUGUCCGCAGGUCGCUUUGAGGUUGGUGGAAGGCCGGCGGCUCGUUGACUGAAAACAUAGGACGAAAAACGUCAGAAACAAACUAAAGCGGAGUGUUGAAAUAUAUUUCUGAUACAAUUUAAAUGCAGUUAUAUUCCAAAGUAGCUAUGAGUCGGGUCUCUGUGUACAAAUACCACGAGCUUUGCAGGCAUUUGCAACUAACCAACAACAACACCAUUAGCUCUUUUGUCAUAGUUACUCCCACCUUCUUAUUUACUAUUACAUCUACAACUACAAGUCUUUGUGUUUUGAUGCUACUUCCUGUCCUGAAAUAAACUCUUUACAAGUGAGCUUGGUUUGGCAAAAACAUUCCUCCAGGCUGUUCCUGUAAGAAUCAUUGUAAACACACAUGUCCAUGGCUGGAGAAGUUUCAAGCUUUUCUUUCCAAGUGGAGCUCUCAACAAGAUCAUGUAGCAACCACUACUGAGAUCACACUUUCCCCACAGAUGUUUAAUAGAAAGAAAGUGAUGAUAAUCCCAGGAAACACCUACUCAGCAUGAUGGUCAUAUGUUUAGAAACCGACAAGAGAACGCUCGCUGAUUAAUAGGAUUAAUACUAUUACUGAAUUCCUAACCUAACUCUCUAGAAAUAAGCAAAAAGUUUAGCAAUGUAGUGAGAUAAUUCCACUUGAAUCCAACAUAAAUUGUUCUUGUUAAAGAAUUUGAUUAUUUUCAUGAUACAAUUGCUUUGAUCUGCCUUAUAAUUUAUUAGAAUUACUCUCCUAAGAAAAUUCAGGCCAUUUGUUGGUCAUUUAUUGCAGUGCACAGCUAUCACAGCCUCACUAUCACAAUUGACUUGUGGGUUCAAUUGAGUUGAGUGUAAGUAAGGAUGAUUGUCAGUCUAGGUAGCUGUGACAACCAACCAUGUGAUUUACCCCCUCUUGUCCCUUCCCCUCUCUCUCUGAGUGGUUAAGCGACAGGUCAGGACUUGCUGGGAGACUUAAACCUCCGCUCCUUUGAUCUGCUAAUGGGACAAACAGGACCACAGUUGGAUGGCUACCACAAUGACAGACUACCAUGACUGCCGCUGCACUAAUACUAAGUGAAUUUGGAGGCGUCCGGGUCACAGAGGAGGCAAGGGCUGCUGGGAUUGGAGUCUCCCGCUGUGAAACACAUCCCGUCGAUGUUACAUGUCCUCUCCUGGCAACCAGCGAGAGAGUACAAAUGGAAAAGGUCUGACCUGGGUCGUGGACGCUCAGAGCCAGAGGGACUCCACACUGGUGACCGUGGUCGGGGCCGUAGCAGGGGAUGGGCACUGUGCUGUGGACGGCCACCUCGUGCUCCUUACUGUUCUCUGCUAUGUGGAGCAAGUCUGGAGAAAACUGAAGAGAAAGAGGGGAAAAAGAGCCUUUGGAUAUGACACACGUUGUCUCUCUGCCUUUGCUUUGUAAGGCUGAACCCAGGCAAAAAGAGGUCAGCUUGAUCCAUGGCUUAAGUUGCCCGCCCGAGGGGUCAAACCCUCCACAUGUGCUCCUCGAAACUUUCAGCACGGUCUGGCAGGAAUUACCGUUUCUCCGAGCCUGAAGUGAACGCCAUCCAUCUCCACCACAGAGAAGGGUUUCAGUGUGGAUUCCUGCCUGAUCUCAACCUUCAUGCUGUGGCCGAUGUGUCUGGCCCAAACCACCUGGAAGCCCAGUGUCUGGCUCCACGGCGGCGGGAUGAAGGAGCACCUCAGGUGGACGCUGUGGCCGAUGAGCUCCGGGAGAUCGCCGGCCGGGACGGCAGGGACGGAAGGGCAGCUGACAGAGAAGUGGUCGGCAUCUCUGCUGGUUUGUUGUUGAUCCUGAAUCUGUACCAGCCCGGCAACAGGGAGUGGUCACAGAUCAGGUCCUGGAUGGCCUUGUUCUGGAUCUCUGUGGAGUCGAAGUCGACACUGCGAUGUGGAUUACGCAAAGUCCGGUGGCCUCCUGGGUAACACUCUGGAGCUGAGAUGAGGAGAACAAGGACAAAUAGGAUGGUGUCAAACUCUUAUCCAGAAAGUGGAAAUUUAGCAGAUGUUGUUCUGUGUUGAAGUUCAAAAAACAAAAAAAGAUCAUAAAAAUGGGUUGUUCCAGACAGAAACAGACACUAAGCAUUAUUGUGUUAAUUUUCCAGCUUUGGAUAACUUUAAAGUUUUUGGAUGCUUGCCUUUGCUGAAAUAUUAAUGUUUUCCAACCUAAAA